rnacentral:rRNA from 1 species
CAGUCGCCGCGGUAAUACGUAGGGGGCAAGCGUUGCCCGGAAUCAUUGGGCGUAAAGCGCGUGUAGGCGGCUCGAUAAGUCUGCUGUGAAAGUCCAGGGCUCAACCCUGGAAUGCCGGUGGAAACUGUCGAGCUCGAGUCCGGAAGAGGCAAGUGGAAUUCCUGGUGUAGCGGUGAAAUGCGCAGAUAUCAGGAGGAACACCAAUGGCGAAGGCAGCUUGCUGGGACGGUACUGACGCUGAGACGCGAAAGCGUGGGGAGCAAACAGGAUUAGAUACCCCAGUAGUCCCUGUCUCUUAUAC